rnacentral:rRNA from 1 species
UACGGAGGAUCCGAGCGUUAUCCGGAUUUAUUGGGUUUAAAGGGUGCGCAGGCGGGAGAUUAAGUCGGCGGUGAAAUUUUGCAGCUCAACUGUAAAAGUGCCUUCGAAACUGGUUUCCUUGAGUGUGGAUGAAGUAGGCGGAAUUUGUGGUGUAGCGGUGAAAUGCAUAGAUAUCACGAGGAACUCCGAUUGCGCAGGCAGCUUACUAAACCAUAACUGACGCUCAGGCACGAAGGCGUGGGGAUCAAACAGGAUUAGAUACCCCCGUACGUCCU